GAUGAACGCUAGCUACAGGCUUAACACAUGCAAGUCGAGGGGCAGCACAGUGUAGCAAUACAUGGGUGGCGACCGGCGCACGGGUGCGUAACGCGUAUCCAACCUUCCCGAUACUCAGGGAUAGCCUUCCGAAAGGGAGAUUAAUACCUGAUGGUGUUCAAAUUCCGCAUGUUAUUUGAACUAAAGAUUUAUCGGUAUCGGAUGGGGAUGCGUGACAUUAGAUAGUAGGCGGGGUAACGGCCCACCUAGUCUACGAUGUCUAGGGGUUCUGAGAGGAAGGUCCCCCACGCUGGAAACGAGACACGGUCCAGACUCCUACGGGAGGCAGCAGUGAGGAAUAUUGGUCAAUGGUCGGAAGACUGAACCAGCCAAGUAGCGUGAAGGAUGAAGGUUCUAUGGAUUGUAAACUUCUCUUAUACGGGAAUAAAACCUCCCACGUGUGGGAGCUUGUAUGUACCGUAUGAAUAAGCAUCGGCUAACUCCGUGCCAGCCGCCGCCGUAACAC
rnacentral:rRNA from 1 species